CUCAUACUUGCUUUCAUGGUAGACUCAUGAGUUUGGUGCGACUUUACAAGUUCAAGGAAUUUUGGAAGAAAAAAAACCCAAGACAUAUUGGGCCUAAUCGUUUCAUUUAGAAAACCCUAAAAGGAAAUUAGAAGAUCUUUCUCGUAGAAAUUUUUUCUCUCUGUAUCGCGUUUGCACCACAUGUUUCUUGUUGUCUCGUAUUCACUCAUCUGGUUUGUGUUCCUUUUUGUUUCGUACUCUUUCUUUGUGUUGUGUUUUGUGCUCCAUUCUUCGUUGAUUAUUUUAUGUGUUGUUCUUUCAUGCGUGUUCUAUUUUUAUUUCAUUGAGUUUCUCUUUUCAUUUUGUUGCAUAAUGUUUUUUAUUUUUUGCCGUAUAUAUGUAGUAGGAAGGAAUUAUGACUUUAUCUUAUCUACAUACUUUGUGAAUUUUAUUAUGGAGUUUUUUUUUUGUAACAACUUUAUUAUGGAGUUCGAAAUUAUAAUUUUUAUGUUAAUUGGUUUUUAUUAUGUAUUUGUAUUAUUUAUAAGGUUUUUUUAAUUCAUUUUUUAUUUUCCAUUGGCUCUAAUGUGAGUCUACGAGUCAAGUCUGUAGGUCGAGUCUACGAAUCCUUAGCCAGUCUAUAUACAUUCUCGCGAGUCCGACAACUAAUUCCACCAAUUCUUCUAUUGAUGUAGAAAGCUUACUAGGAAAUGGAGUUAAAGAUGAACAACUUGAUUCUGAUACAAAUUGUCAUUGGGAUUAAAUUCUUGAUGACAUGAAUGAGGAGGACUCUGAUUUGAAUAUUGGUGGAAAGUGGUGGUGUUAGGCUUAUAUAUUUUUUAGGCCAAACUAUAUAUGAGGAUUGAGAAAGUCAUAAGUCAUUAUUGCUUGGGCCAACAAGAAGUUCACCUAAGUUCAAUUCUACUGAUUGUUGGCCAGAUAUUUUGGUAAUUUAAUUUCUUUUCAUUUGACUCUCAUAAAAUUUAAGGUAGAUCCACCACCUGAUUAUAGAGGUCAAUGCUCUAAUGGGGAAGUAAUUAGUACUAAUGAAAAUGGUACCACUUUUUGAAGUUUUUGGUGUAAUUAAAAUUUGGGAGAUUUGGUGCGGCUCUAUUUAACUUAACCAACGUCCUGAGUUCAAUCUUAGAAUUGGGUAUACAGCAGUGUUAAAACUUUUAGGGAGACAUUGUUAUUAUAAUCUCCGAC
rnacentral:lncRNA from 1 species